UACUAGAGUAGCACUCGCAUAUCAAUAAGCGGAGGAAAAGAAACUAACAAGGAUUCCCCUAGUAACGGCGAGUGAAGCGGGAAGAGCUCAAAUUUGAAAUCUUAAAGGGUUUCCCUUUACGAAUUGUAGUUUAAAGAAGUGUUUUCUGUUGAGGUUUUGGUAAAAGUUCUUUGGAAUAGGACAUCAUAGAGGGUGAGAAUCCCGUAUUUGACCUUUACUUUCAACUUUGUGAUACACUUUCAAAGAGUCGGAUUGUUUGGGAAUGCAGUCCAAAAUGGGUGGUAAAUUUCAUCUAAAGCUAAAUAUUGGCGAGAGACCGAUAGCGAACAAGUACCGUGAGGGAAAGAUGAAAAGAACUUUGAAAAGAGAGUUAAACAGUACGUGAAAUUGUCAAAAGGGAAGCGUUUGACACCAGUGUUGUUUUUCUGAAAAUCAAUUAAAGAACUGUUUAUGCUAAGUUGUUUAGACUUUAUCAGCUAUCUGCUUAGUUUUGAGCUUUUCUUUAAUGCACUUUUCGGUUAACAAGUCAACAUCAAUUCCUUUUGCUGUAAAAAAGCUUGAGGAAGGUGGCUUGAGAUUCGUCUUAAGUGUUUAUAGCCUCUUGCCUAUGCAGUCGGAGAGAUUGAGGUCUGCAGCGUAGAUCCUUCGGGGCUAAAUGCAUUUGUGCUAAGUUAUAGCAUUUUAUAGACAACUUGUUGACUAUGAUUUGUCUUGUAGCUUACUCGCUUAUGUUAUUUUACCUACGCUUAGGAUGUUGAACUCUAUCACACACAG
rnacentral:rRNA from 1 species